UGGACACUAGUUUUAUUGGUUCUGAUAUCACUUUAGUCGCCGAGUUACAUGAAGAAAUCUGUGAAAAUGGCAGCAUCACUAGAAAUUGUUAACAAGACAGUAAGGCUGCUUCUAAAUGCUCUACUGUGCUGCUCUGGCAUUAUUUUCACAAAUUUAUGCUAAUAAAUUCAACUUAAAAAAGCAAUGAAGAGGGAAAAUGAAGCUCUCUGGUUUAACAGCAAGCAUGUUAGCUCAUUAGCUUAGCUCAUUGCAAAUGGAAUAGUAGGUUGAAGCAUUUGUUGCAUGUUUUUGCUCCAUCAACAAGCCACUGAUCUGUUGUAGAGCAUUUUAUAUUCUGGCAGUUACUUCAGAAUUAUUUUUAUUGCCAUUUUCCUGUGCACUUUGGCACAUGGAAGGGCUGGGAAUCAAACUGCCGACCUCGCAACUGAUUGACAACUGAAAAGUCAAGUUUUUUCUGAAAGCUCGAGAGUACAACUGCUGGUGUAGAUACCAGAUCUGGAUGUCAUGUGUUUGUGCCCCAGACUACUAUGUAAAUAAGCAAAUUUCAUGAUUGUGCCAAGAAAGAGAUCUAAAUGUAAAUGGACACGUAAUGAAAAUGUUUUUUUCUUAAAGUAGAUGUUUGAUACUUUUAAUGUGAAAAGAUUUUUUUAGAUUAUGGGUCUUUUCACCUGAAAUUAUCAGAUUUACUUCACUUUAACUAAUUUCUCUUAAAUUUUUAUAGCAUUAAAUACAUAGAUUUGUGAAAUUUUAGCUUGACAUGUCUAUCUUUCCCCCCAAAAUACCCCUGAGACUAUAGAGAUUAUUUAAUCUACUUGUCUAAUUUUGCAGAUUCUGAAUCAAUGUCAUGAUGAGAAAUAACAGUGAACAUUUCAGGCAUUUAUCUUUAAUAGUUGCUUAGAUAUUGAUGCUCAAGCAGAGUCAAAUUAAAAAGAAAAAAUGCGCUCAAAGUGAGUCGACAAGCAAUUUAUCUUGGUAGGUAUUUGAUACAUCAAUCUACAAUUUGACAAUUUUAGAUAAAGUUUAGGAUUUUAACAAUGUAGUUUAUGAAUAAAUAAUUCAAUCAAAUCAGAGACGAGUCAAACAGAACGUCCCUGAUGACCUGAGACAGAGUAAAUUGCAUGUAUUUCAUCCUUGCACAUUACCUGCUCUGUUAUUUAUUCCUAAAAGUCCUGCAACACUUUCCCCUGUACAAACCAGAUGAUGGAACUCUGGGAAGCAAAAAUGCAGCAAAACAAAUCAGUAGUUUGUCCAAUCUAGAGGAAAGAAACCUCAGCUGUGUCUCCAAUAAUUCUUACAGUAAUAUCCUAAUGUUGUUCAGUUACUAUACCAAUAGUAAGUAAUAGCAGAUGUGGCAGGAUUAACCCAACUGGUGCCUACAGCUGCAAAAACAAGCAAAUGUGGCAACCAAAGCACAUUAUUAUAGACAGUGCACUCACAUUUAUUACAUGUAGUGCUCUAUUAAACAUGCAUGAGAUGUUUUAAAUGUACAUUUUGGGGACUUUUUUUUAAAUUUUAGCAUUGGGAGAGACUUUCCAAUGAUUUGUUUACUAGAUAGUAACGUUAUCAAGCUAAUAUUUGAGCCCUAUUUUGGUUUCAUUGAUUAAUUACACAGAGCUGCUUCAUACAAUACAAUAAUUUCUUCUAUUUUCUAUUUUUUGGGCACUUUAUUCCCCUAAAUAACACCAAUCUGUUGUACAAAAUCUUUUCCCAAUUUCAAGUGGAUGAAAAAAAAAGUUUGGAUUUCCUCCUAUAAGAGCAUCCCCGUGUUUUUGUGCGGUUUGCAUCAUUGAGUUCAUUUUUUAAAUGUGGCUGAACUGUGAAUUCUUUAGAGUAAAUUUUUUCCUUUUUUUCGUCUUCGGGGGUGGUGGAGGGGUUGAGGAAAGCAGUACUCACCACCUCCGCUACCCAGCUUCCUGGGGGAAACCCUGCAAACUAUUCAGAAUUUCACAAGAAAAAGACGAAGUUCAAAGAAAUCAGAGAAGAAAAAAAAUAAGCAUAUGUAGCAGAAUUUCUUGUUGCUGAUCGCAUCAAUUCUAAUGAGCUUCUUGUUUUUUAGGGAUGUCGCUACACUCGGAUGCUUAAUCAUUUAGCUCGAUGAUUACUAAUUUAUUGUAACUGACGGAACCAAAAUGAAAUAAACCAGAAUUGUCCUUUUUAAAAGCUGCAUUCUGAGGUUUAAAGUACAAAACUUCAAGGUUGUACUUGAGCAUCAAAUGGAAGAGGGCUUUCAUGAAGUAUUCUAUACUGUAUGUACAGUAUGUUCCUAUAUCACUAUGUGUACAAAUAUUUAAAGCUGUGUACAGACAGAUAUUUUGCAAGUGUGUCAGGCUCAUGCAACGUGUACUCUACUAUUCAACAACUUCAAAUUGGAGUGUCUGUAAAUCAGUAUGUAUAAUCCUUGCCAACACCACACUAAAUAUGAAUUAUAUGCAAGUUAUAUACAAGUACUACCCGACACCUAUCCUCUUUUACUCACUACGUAGUGGUAUGUCGUCUAGGCAACUAAUAUCCAACCUGCAGAUAAAAAUGAAUGUUUGUCUGAAGGUUUCAGUCUUUGUAGAAACUUUAUUGAUGCGUUUUUUCUGAUUUGACUGACGGUGCAGCAGCAGCAGCACAACAGCCUAAACGUGCAGAAGCCCUGGCGAUGAUGCAACGUUGCAUCAGACACUUCAGUCAGCAUCAGAAAAUUCAAAACAACCAGAGGUGCAUUCUGGAAACUAAACUUUUCCCCAAAAGAGGAGACAUUUAAGUGCAGCAGUUGAAGAUUUCACUGAUCACAUGUACUUCUUUUUCUUCCAAUUCGAGGAACGAAGUCGGCUCUUUACCAAAGACAACAAAUUGUUUCCUGUAAUUUGAAGAACAGAGGACACGGCUGGAGGGGUUUUUUUGUUAUGUGUUUGUGUCAGAAGACGCUACGUUGUGGUUGAUGGCUCUGGCAUGUUCACAACCACAAUCUGCUGGCCGGCAGCAGCGAUGCAGAGCGAUCACACCCUGUUCGAGCUCACAGCACACAGAUAUUCACACGGCAACACGUCGACACAUACACGAGCUGCACUGAGGUCAAGCAUACACGCUUCAGAAUCGCUACUUUUAGGUUUUAUCUCCUAGUCCUUUCUGUGUCCACCAGCUGAACCUCAAAAUCGGAACUCAUCGCGCCUGUUUUUCUUAUUUUUCUCGUGUCCGAACAGCAAACCGACUCCUUGGUUCACUCAGGAGACAAAAAGAAAAGAUCAGAUCUGCCAGCAUUAGAUUAAAAACUAAACUCGUCCGUCAAAAGGUUUCCCUCAGAUUUACUCAGGAUACAAACGGCUAGCUCCAACAAAGAAUACACUGUAACAAACACACACUUUUCAUUCCUGUAUAGCUCCUGUAAGUAACUACGUGAGUCAGGUUGUGUGGGUUUUUUUCCUGGGUAACCUUAAAGCGCACAUGGAGACCUCAGCACUAAUGAACUCUCCACAACACUGAUGAGAAGUAAUGUCUGUGUUUUUAAAGCAGUGUGCGCUGGAACAACACUGCUGGCAUUUCGGGGACUUUGUGUGGAAAAACUAAAAAAUGAAAACGACCACAGAGGUAUAUAAAGAGUCACUUUUUCUUUUUUCCUCUCUGUCUGUCUGUAAAUAUUCUAAUAAAUAAACUGGAACUUGCACUGAAAUAAUAA
ensembl:lncRNA